GAUCCUGGCUCAGGACGAACGCUGGCGGCGUGCCUAAGACAUGCAAGUCGAGCGGAGCAUGAGGCUUCGGUCUUAUGCUUAGCGGCGGACGGGUGAGUAACACGUGGAUAACCUGCCCUCUGUUCCGGGAUAACAGGCCGAAAGGCCUGCUAAUACGGGAUAAGCUCACGUCUCCGCAUGGGGAAGGGAGAAAAGGCGCUGCAAGGCGCUGACAGAGGAGGGGUCCGCGGCCCAUUAG
rnacentral:rRNA from 1 species